rnacentral:rRNA from 1 species
UAAGGAAUAUUGGUCAAUGGAGGCAACUCUGAACCAGCCAUGCCGCGUGCAGGAAGACUGCCCUAUGGGUUGUAAACUGCUUUUAUCCGGGAAUAAACCUAAAUACGUGUAUUUAGCUGAAUGUACCGGAAGAAUAAGGAUCGGCUAACUCCGUG